GACGAACGCUGGCGGCGUGCUUAACACAUGCAAGUCGAACGGAAAGGCCUGCUUUCCCUUGUGGAUUGCGGGUACUCGAGUGGCGAACGGGUGAGUAACACGUGAGUGAUCUGCCCCCAACUUGGGUAUAAGCCUGGGAAACUGGGUCUAAUUCCCGAUAGGACUGCAGGGUGGUGCCUGUGGUGGAAAACGAUUUUCUAGUGGUUGGGGGUGAGCUCGCGGCCUAUCAGCUUGUUGGUGGGGUAAUGGCCUACCAAGGCGGCGACGGGUAGCCGGCCUGAGAGGGUGGACGGGCACAGUGGGACUGGGAUACGGCCCAGACGCCUACGGGAGGCAGCAGUGGGGAAUAAGGCACAAGGGGCGGAAGCCUGAUGCAGCGACGCCGAGUGGGGGAUGACGGCCUUCGGGUUGUAAACUCCUGUCGACCGAGAGGAAGCCACCUGGUUGGAAGGGUGGUGACGGUAGUGGUAGAAGAAGCACCGGCUAACUACGUG
rnacentral:rRNA from 1 species